UACGGAAGGCAGCAGGGGGGAAUAUUGCACAAUGGGCGCAAGCCUGAUGCAGCCAUGCCGCGUGUAUGAAGAAGGCCUUCGGGUUGUAAAGUACUUUCAGUCGUGAGGAAGGUGUUAAGGUUAAUAACCUUAGCAAUUGACGUUAGCGACAGAAGAAGCACCGGCUAACUCCGUGCCAGCAGCUGCGGUAAUACGGAGGGUGCGAGCGUUAAUCGGAAUUACUGGGCGUAAAGGGCACGCAGGCGGUUAAUUAAGUUGGAUGUGAAAUCCCCGGGCUUAACCUGGGAAUGGCAUUCAAGACUGGUUAGCUAGAGUCUUGUAGAGGGGGUAGAAUUCCGAUGUGUAGCGGUGAAAUGCGUAGAGAUGUGGAGGAAUACCGGUGGCGAAGGCGGCCCCUGGACAAGACUGACGCUCAUGUGCGAAAGCGUGGGGAGCAAACAGGGAUUAGAUACC
rnacentral:rRNA from 1 species